rnacentral:rRNA from 1 species
CAGGCCUAACACAUGCAAGUCGAGGGGCAGCGGGUGUAGCAAUACAUGCCGGCGACCGGSGCAAGGGUGCGUAACGCGUGAGCAAUCUGCCCGUAUCAGGGGGAUAAGCGAUGGAAACGUCGUCUAAUACCGCAUAACACAUUGGAUGGCAUCGUCUGAUGUUGAAAGCUUCGGUGGAUACGGAUGAGCUCGCGAGACAUUAGUUAGUUGGCGGGGUAACGGCCCACCAAGACCGCGAUGUCUAGGGGAACUGAGAGGUUGGUCCCCCACACUGGAACUGAGACACGGUCCAGACUCCUACGGGAGGCAGCAGUGAGGAAUAUUGGACAAUGGUCGGAAGACUGAUCCAGCCAUGCCGCGUGAAGGAAUAAGGUCCUAUGGAUUGUAAACUUCUUUUGAGAGGGAGCAAUAAGGUGUACGUGUACACCGAUGAGAGUACCUUUCGAAUAAGCAUCGGCUAACUCCGUGCCAGCAGCCGCGGUAAUACGGAGGAUGCGAGCGUUAUCCGGAUUUAUUGGGUUUAAAGGGUGCGUAGGCGGUUUUUUAAGUCAGCGGUGAAACGCAAGGGCUCAACCCUUGACCUGCCGUUGAAACUGGAGGACUUGAAUGCGGAUGCUGUGGGAGGAAUGUGUGGUGUAGCGGUGAAAUGCAUAGAUAUCACGAGGAACUCCGAUUGCGAAGGCAGCCGGCUGGGGCGCGACUGACGCUCAUGCUCGAAGGCGCGGGUAUCAAACAGGAUUAGAUACCCUGGUAGUCCGCGCGGUAAACUAUGGACGCCCGCGGUGUGGCCAUUGUGGUUGCGCCGCCAAGCGAAAGCGUUAAGCGUCCCACCUGGGGAGUACGCCGGCAACGGUGAAACUCAAAGGAAUUGACGGGGGCCCGCACAAGCGGAGGAACAUGUGGUUUAAUUCGAUGAUACGCGAGGAACCUUACCCGGGCUUGAAAUGGCCGCUGUGGGCCGCAGAGACGCGGUCCUUUCCCUUCUGGGAGGCGGUUGUAGGUGCUGCAUGGUUGUCGUCAGCUCGUGCCGUGAGGUGUCGGCUCAAGUGCCAUGACGAGCGCAACCCCCCUCCCCAGUUGCCAUCGGGUGACGCCGGGAACUCUGGGGACACUGCCAUCGCAAGAUGCGAGGAAGGCGGGGAUGACGUCAAAUCAGCACGGCCCUUACGUCCGGGGCCACACACGUGUUACAAUGGGGGGCACAGAAAGCUGGAUGCCGGCGACGGUGUCCGAAUCCUCAAAUCCCCUCCCAGUUCGGACUGGAGCCUGCAACCCGGCUCCACGAAGCUGGAUUCGCUAGUAAUCGCGCAUCAGCCAUGGCGCGGUGAAUACGUUCCCGG